AAAUGUUUGGACUAUUAAUAAAGUCCAAGUACAUAAAAAUGAUUUGUAAACCAUGUAACUAUUUUCUUUGUUUUUUUUCUAUGUCUUCUCAUGCUUUAUCGAUUUGUAUCCCUAUUUUUCCGCCCACUAACACCUCCACGUUCAAGGUGAUUAUACAACCGAUUCCUCUUUUAUUUAAAUCUCAAUUCAGUUUCUAAUAUCUGUUAUCCUCUCCUCUAAUCCUCUCUGUUCCAUCGUUUUUUUUUCUGCUCAUCUAUUACAAUUCUCAGUCAGGUGGAAGAUUCUCUGGAUUAUACCCAUCUUUCACAUCUAAAAUUCUUUGACAAAAGAAUGGAAGAGAGCUUUAAUAUCGUGGACAUGGAAUUAUUAUCCAAAGAUAAAGCUGGAUCCAAAAGAUAAAGCUGGAGUAAUUCUCAAGGGGUUAGUCUCCAACAUGAAAGAAUGAGCUUUCCGCCAAUGGAGUUUCAAACUGUCUCCUAAUCUCAAAUUUUCUUCUAUGCCAUUUACAAGACAUGAUAUCCUUAUGGAGAAUAAUAAAAAGAAAAGAGAGAACAACAAUGCCCAUGCACGGUCCAAGUUGUAAGCAUGAUCAAAGUGGCAUACAAUUUUUUCAUCUCUCCAAGAUACUAUGCUUUGGUAAAUUUUAAAAUGGCCAUGAUUAGCCUUAUGGUUUAUACAAGGAUAAAGACAUGUGGAAAUGAAGUUAAGAAGAAGGAAUUGGCAAGUGAGGAGGAAACUGAAGAGUGAACAAGCAUGUGCAAUAGAAUACAAUUGUGUAUAUAAAGCAUGUAGUCAUUUCUGUGUAGAACAUGCACUGUUUUGUUAUUGAAAGGGCGAUGUAUGUGUUGCUUAGUGACAUAGAGCUUGUGUUGGUGAUUUAUG